AGCGAACGCUGGCGGCAGGCUUAACACAUGCAAGUCGAGCGGGCACUUUCGGGUGUCAGCGGCGGACGGGUGAGUAACGCGUGGGAACGUGCCCUCUGGUUCGGAAUAACUCAGGGAAACUUGAGCUAAUACCGGAUACGCCCUUUUGGGGAAAGGCUUGCUGCCGGAGGAUCGGCCCGCGUCUGAUUAGCUAGUUGGUGAGGUAACGGCUCACCAAGGCGACGAUCAGUAGCUGGUCUGAGAGGAUGAUCAGCCACACUGGGACUGAGACACGGCCCAGACUCCUACGGGAGGCAGCAGUGGGGAAUAUUGGACAAUGGGCGCAAGCCUGAUCCAGCCAUGCCGCGUGAGUGAUGAAGGCCCUAGGGUUGUAAAGCUCUUUUAUCCGGGACGAUAAUGACGGUACCGGAGGAAUAAGCCCCGGCUAACUUCGUG
rnacentral:rRNA from 1 species